GCACGGGCGAGCACUCCAUGUCCGAAACGGUGUUGUGCCCCAGCGUGGCGGAUGCGGAUGGUCGUUUAAAUACGGUGCAGUCUAUGCUGUCUGUCGAAGCAGUUGGCUUUGAAGAUCCCGGUCGCCAGCAGAUGAAAUAAAUGGGCCAGUUGCGCACAGGGCAGCAGGCAACGCCAGAAGAAGGGACACCUGAAACUCGUCCGUCCAUCCGGUCCCGGUCACCACGCGUAAUGCGAAGAGCACCGAAACAAGCGUCUGCACCGCACAACUGCCAACUGGGUUAUGAACCAGGGCACAUGUCUGCAAUUUGGCGCCCGUCUCGAGAGUGUCUCAUAUCUGGCCUAAAGCAAUUCAAUACGGCAGCAACACGUUCCUGAAGCCUGAAGUCAACGCGCCACGCGAGAACCGACACACGCCUGCGUCAGAAGAAGAAGCAAAGAGAGACGCUGUUGGAAUCAACAUUAUUAUUGUUUUAUCGUAUUACCACCCGG